rnacentral:rRNA from 1 species
GUCUCAGGCCGUAUCAGCCUGAAGGCGCCCGACUCUCGUCUGAUCUCGGAAGCUAAGCAGGGUCGGGCCUGGUUAGGAUCUUGGAUGGGAGACCACCUGGGAAUCCCGGGUGCUCGAGGCU